rnacentral:lncRNA from 1 species
UCUGAAUCAGCUGCAGUGGCACAGGUGAACGCAAUUUCACCUGAGUGACCGGGCCUCCUAGACCCCACUUAAAGGCUGACUCCCAGGGAGGAUGGGUCUCUAUCUGGAGAUUGCUCCUUUUGGAGCCCUUCCAUGAGCCCAGGAUACAGCUUCUAGCAACACCUUUAAUGGAAAAAUACAGAGAAAACACAAAAGACCAUUGAUGAAAAUGG